UACGAAGGGGGCUAGCGUUGCUCGGAAUCACUGGGCGUAAAGGGCGCGUAGGCGGCCAUUCAAGUCGGGGGUGAAAGCCUGUGGCUCAACCACAGAAUUGCCUUCGAUACUGUUUGGCCUGAGUUUGGGUAGAGGUUGGUGGAACUGCGAGUGUAGAGGUGAAAUUCGUAGAUAUUCGCAAGAACACCAGUGGCGAAGGCGGCCAACUGGACCAAUACUGACGCGUGAGGCGGCGAAAAGCGUGGGGAGC
rnacentral:rRNA from 1 species